GCGGGUAUUGUAGGCGUGUCCAUCCCGGGGAGUGUGAGCGCUCAGCCAAUGGCGCGUUGCACAGGCCACUGUGGGCGUGGUCUACGCUGCCUUACUAUCCAGUCUCAGCUGCUGCUGCACGCUUUGUUCAAAGUACAGUCCGUCCGCUGUGCCGCUUCUUCACGUCACUUUUUACUAACGGAGAGGAGGAGAAAACGCUGAAAUGGAGCUCAGUUUGUCACACGGACACCUUCAGCACCUGUAAUGAACUCAUUAGAGCCGGGUUUGGAUGACUGACUGACUGACUGGGCGAGGUUUACAGCGGAGAGGAAAGGUGAAGCAGUUGGAGAGAGAGACAGAGAAUGGUGACAUGUGCGACUGUUGGGAUUUCUGUCAGGAAUAAGUGACUAACCUUGAGCUGUAGUGUCCACCCUCCUCGUCAUCACCUCUGGACAUCUAUGGAGAGGCUAUGUCGUUUGCUCUCAUGCAUCUCCUGGACUUUCUCCCAGCACCACCACCACCAGCACCAGCAGCAGCAGAGUGAGUUUUAACCCCAGCUGGGCAGUUGAAGACGGCUCACUUCACCUCAUUUGAAUGCCUUUGCAAGGGCUCUGCUGGUUUCUGUGCUGCAGACAGGGCUUCAGUUUGCUGGGACGGGAAUAUGGGGAGAAAGAGGAGGAAGAAUCUCUGGAGUUGCGCAACAAGGAGGAGAUGACUCCCAAUGGACGGACUCCAGCUGAGGUGACCAUUUCUCAGCCAACACGCACAGCCAAUGGGUCAAAUGGAUUCCGUUUUCAUUGGUCGAUUUCCUGCGCACUCAACUGAGGGGUAACUGAGACUCGCUGCAGCGCAAACAAGCGCGUGUCCUGUAACCAUCUCUGAUUGGCCAGCAGCCCAGGAAGGCGGUUCUCGGCAUUUGUGAUUGGUGAACAUAUAUAUCACUCAAAUGAUGAAGACAGAAGAAAAAACCUCAGCGUCUGAGGUUACGUUAUCGCUGUAGUGAAAACCUUAAUAUCAAUGCGAUUAAGGUUAAUCGUUCAGCCUUAUCGCAGACUCAUUUUAUUGAACUGGAUGAAUGCACUACCCCCAUCACACUCACAGUGGACUAAAGACCUUCUUCAUUUCAUGAGAAUGGAAAAGAUUAGACACUUUGAAAGGUAGAUCUAAUAGGUUCUUUGAAAUUUGGCAACCUUUUCUUAGUUAUGCGGAAGAUAAAUUGAAAAUAAACAUUUGAUAAGCUGUGCCA
rnacentral:lncRNA from 1 species